GCAUAUUACUAUAUAGAAAAAUUUGACUUGGAUUUAUUUAGGAAAAUCUUUAAUUUGUGUUACUAACCUUCCUAUUUAGCCAAAGAAAUUAGAUCACCUUUCUAUUUAGCUUAAAAAAAAAAGAGUAGAUAACUUCCUAUUUUGGUAUGAUUUUCCCUUAAGUGCAAAAGGAAGACUAGAUUCACUUUUUCUCUUUUCUCUUGGAUGCUAAUGGGCUUAGAGCAAGGACAUUUUGGUCCAAUUAGCACUCCCUGGGCUUACUCUAGUUUAGUGCAGCAUUAGAUUGGGUCUAACUAAAUCACAAGUGGGCCUUUACUUACAAGCCCUAUAGCACUCUCCACCCUAGUUUAUUAUUUUCUAUUUAUUUUUUUCUAUAAACCAGUUUAAUUUUUAUUUUAUUUUAAUAAUGUAGAACAUUAUAUUUCAUUUCUUUGGCAUUUUCAACAUCCCUAAAGCAUUUUAGUAUUUUCAUUAUUGGACUCCUCGUUGCUUUAUAUGUGUAGCUCUAUGGGGACAUAAGAUUAGAGGUCUACAAAUUUUCAGGCACAAUUUUAUGCA
rnacentral:misc_RNA from 1 species